rnacentral:tRNA from 1 species
GAGAGAUUAUACAAGAGCUGCUAACUCCUGCGCCUGAAACUAAACCUUCAGAUCUUUCA